AUUGAACGCUGGCGGCAGGCCUAACACAUGCAAGUCGAGCGGAUGAAGGGAGCUUGCUCCUGGAUUCAGCGGCGGACGGGUGAGUAGUGCCUAGGAAUCUGCCUGGUAGUGGGGGAUAACGUCCGGAAACGGGCGCUAAUACCGCAUACGUCCUGAGGGAGAAAGUGGGGGAUCUUCGGACCUCACGCUAUCAGAUGAGCCUAGGUCGGAUUAGCUAGUUGGUGGGGUAAAGGCCUACCAAGGCGACGAUCCGUAACUGGUCUGAGAGGAUGAUCAGUCACACUGGAACUGAGACACGGUCCAGACUCCUACGGGAGGCAGCAGUGGGGAAUAUUGGACAAUGGGCGAAAGCCUGAUCCAGCCAUGCCGCGUGUGUGAAGAAGGUCUUCGGAUUGUAAAGCACUUUAAGUUGGGAGGAAGGGCAGUGAGUUAAUACCUUGCUGUUUUGACGUUACCAACAGAAUAAGCACCGGCUAACUUCGUG
rnacentral:rRNA from 1 species